GUGAGAUUUAUCAUAAUGAUGAUGAUGUUACUGACUUCACUGCUCAUCACAAUCAUGCUCAGACUUCAAGGAUCAGAUGCCAGUUCAUCUGUGACUCAGUCUCCUGUGUUUAAAGCUGCUGCUUUGGGGGAGACGGUCUCUCUGAGCUGUACAGCCAGUGAAGGAGUUGACAAUGAUCUCAGCUGGUAUCUACAGAAACCUGGACAGCCUCCCAAACUGCUGUUUUACCAAAUCAGCAGCCGUGAAUCUGAUACUCCGAGUCAUUUCAGCAGCAGUGGAUCUGAGCCUGAGUUCACUUUGACAAUCAAUGGAGUUCAGGCUGCAGAUGCAGGAGAUUACUACUGUAUGGGAACAUAUAGAGGCCCAGAGUUCACACAGUGA